UACGUAGGGGGCAAGCGUUGUCCGGAUUUAUUGGGCGUAAAGCGUGCGCAGGCGGUUCUGUAAGACAGAUGUGAAAUGCCCGGGCUUAACCUGGGAACUGCAUUUGUGACUGCAAAGCUAGAGUGUGUCAGAGGGGGGUAGAAUUCCACGUGUAGCAGUGAAAUGCGUAGAUAUGUGGAGGAAUACCGAUGGCGAAGGCAGCCCCCUGGGAUAACACUGACGCUCAUGCACGAAAGCGUGGGGAGCAAACGGG
rnacentral:rRNA from 1 species